UUGAAAAGGAAAAAUCUGGAGAAAAAAAACUGAUUAGAGGUUCAUAAAUAUCGUCCGGAAAUUUGGAAAAUUGAUUGGGUAAUGUUUCAACCUCAGUCGUCUCUUAGGCUAUAAUCCUAGAAAAUAGCUAAAAGUUGAGAAUCUCAUCAGAGGGGACGAUAAAUUCAUUCCAACCCCAGCUUCCGGCCGUCAGAGACUCCUGGAACUUGGAUGGGGUGGUUUUGGAAGGUUGACUUGACCCCCAGAAUUUAAAGAGCCCCUUAUAGCAGGGAAGUUAGCACUUGCUGGCACCAGAAUUCAUUGAAAGAUUCCAACUUCUGUUUGGUGCAUAGCACUGUGUCAAGCUUCUGAUGAUGAUGUGGCCUCUUAGUUGGUUGCUUGCUUAAGAAUAUCUAAUCUUCUUUGGUGCUUGAUUAUGUGCAACACCCACAGAAAUGCAAAUGCAAUGGUUGCCAAAUAACGUCUAAUGGUGAAACUCCUCGUCUUUUUGACGAUGCUGGUAAAUGCACAAUGAAUGUUUCUUACAGAAGCUCUGGUAAACUGGUGGUAUGCUUAUAUACACUUGAACAAUCUUCUCCGCUUGAGCUAAGCUCUUGAGAUUGAGUUAGACCUAAGCCCUAUAUCUUUACAUGGUAUUUGUAACACUCCCCCUCAAACUAGGCAUGAUCAAUAUGUAUGCUCCAGCUUGAGGGGAGUGUUAUAGAAUGUAUAUAGACUUCAUUGUUCAUUCUUAGCAAAGUACAUAGCCAUAUUUAGGUAGCAAAUUUGUAGGAAUCCUUCUUUAUUUCUUUCCUUAAUUAACACCUAAUGUAUUGUAUUUAGACAUUGCUUACAGCUUACCUAUUGGAAUACUAUAACUUCUUCCAUCUGAUUACAUGGUAUUAGUGCCAAGUCCUUCCCCGUUUAGGUAGCAAAUUUGUAGGAAUCCUUCUUUAUUUCUUCCUUAAUUAACACCUAAUGUAUUGUAUUUAGACAUUGCUUACAGCUUACCUAUUGGAAUACUAUAACUUCUUCCAUCUGAUUACAUGGUAUUAGUGCCAAGUCCUUCCCCGUUUAGGUAGCAAAUUUGUAGGAAUCCUUCUUUAUUUCUUUCCUUAAUUAGCACCAAAUGUAUUGUAUUUAGACAUUGCGUACCUAUUGGAAUUAUACAACUUCUUUCAUCCGAUUACAUGGUAUCAAUGUCAAGUCCUUCCCCGUUUGUGCCCUCGUGUUGUAUUGUCCAUGCUCCAUUGGGCCUAGGCAUGAAGGAGGUGUUAGAAUGGGUUAAAGUCUCACAUUGGUUGGGGAAUGGACUGGUUAUCUGUUUAUAUGAAUUUGGGCAAUCCUCCUUUCUUGAGCUAGCAUUUUGGGUUGGAUUAGGCCCAAGUGUUGUAUCUUA
rnacentral:lncRNA from 1 species